GACGAACGCUGGCGGCGUGCUUAACACAUGCAAGUCGAACGGAAAGGCCCUGCUUGCAGGGUGCUCGAGUGGCGAACGGGUGAGUAACACGUGGGUGAUCUGCCCCUUACUUUGGGAUAAGCCUGGGAAACUGGGUCUAAUACUGGAUAGGACCAUGCUGUAGGUGGUGUGGUGGAAAGAUUAGUUUCGGUAAGGGAUGAGCUCGCGGCCUAUCAGCUUGUUGGUGGGGUAAUGGCCUACCAAGGCGUCGACGGGUAGCCGGCCUGAGAGGGUGGACGGCCACAUUGGGACUGCGAUACGACCCAGAAGCCUACGAGAGGCAGCAGUGGGGAAAAUUGUACAAUGGGCGCAAGCCUGAUGCAGAGACGCCGUGUGGGGGAUGACGGCCUUCGGGUUGUAAACACCUUUCAGCCAUGAAGACGCCGUUGUGGUGACGGUAGUGGUAGAAGAAGCACCGGCUAACUACGUG
rnacentral:rRNA from 1 species